UACAGAGGGUGCAAGCGUUGUUCGGAAUUAUUGGGCGUAAAGGGCGCGUAGGCGGUGCGGUAAGUCCGCAGUGAAAUCUCUGGGCUCAACUCAGAGUCUGCUGUGGAAACUGCCGUGCUAGAGUGUGGGAGAGGUGAGUGGAAUUCCCGGUGUAGCAGUGAAAUGCGUAGAGAUCGGGAGGAACACCAGUGGCGAAGGCGGCUACCUGGACCAGCAUUGACACUCAAGCACGAAAGCGUGGGGAGCAAACAGG
rnacentral:rRNA from 1 species